rnacentral:rRNA from 1 species
UACGGUUACCUUGUUACGACUUCGUCCCAGUCACCAAGCCCGACCUCGGCGCCUGCCUCCCCGAUAAAUCGGGGUUAGCUCAGCGACUUCAACCGUUCUCGGCUUCCAUGACGUGACGGGCGGUGUGUACAAGGCCCGGGAACGUAUUCACCGCAGUGUGCUGACCUGCGGUUACUAGCGAUUCCACGUUCAUGCAGGCGGGUUGCAGCCUGCAAUCCCAACUGAGGCCGGCUUUGGUGGGAUUGGCUCCAGCUCGCGCUUUAGCAGCCCAUUGUACCGGCCAUUGUAGCGUGUGUGUAGCCCAGGGCAUAAGGGCCAUGAUGAUUUGACGUCAUCCCCACCUUCCUCCUCCUUGUGGGAGGCUGUCUCGCUAGAGAAGAUAACUAGCGACAAGGGUUGCGCUCGUUGCGGGACUUAACCCAACACCUCACGGCACGAGCUGACGACAACCAUGCAGCACCUGUGAAGGCUUCCCGAGUUACCCCGAGAUCGUCACCCUUUCGGGUUCCUACUACCCACAUGUCAAGCCCUGGUAAGGUUUUUCGCUUAGCAUCGAAUUAAACCACACGCUCCACCGCUUGUGCGGGCCCCCGUCAAUUCCUUUGAGUUUUAGCCUUGCGGCCGUAGUCCCCAGGCGGGAUGCUUAUCG